rnacentral:misc_RNA from 1 species
ACUUCACGUAGCUUCAAAAUUUUCCGCGUAUAUAAAUAGUGAAACAUAGUGUGCAAAAUAUUCUUAAUUAAUACAACAAUAAGAAACGCAUUAGUUACGCGCAGUGCAUUGCCAAGUUACCUGUCACCGGAUCUAAUCAAAGCUCGCUUUAUCAGCGCAGCUCUCUCGUGUCACAUGCGGCCGCACAUUCGCCCCACGAAAUCUAACUGUAAAUGCGAAAUGGUAUAAGGCACAAAAUGGUUUAAAGAAAAAGAAUUAUAUGUUCAAUUAUGCAAAUUAGAUGCUGUUGCUCUGCCUAUAUGUCGUAUUACAUAUAUAUGUGUGUGUGGACAGGAUUGCAGCCAGGACUGCUAGACUGCUGCUGCAAGAAAUAAUUCAUUCUAUAUGCGAAGAACGACGAAUCCAUCUCUGAAUGGAGUUAUCUUUUGCAUUGACUGCACCAGCGCUACAUUAGGCUGUUUGCUCUGUUACCAGGCGAUUUUUGGACAAAUUUGCCCUUUUGCCGCGGCUCAGUUGGCUUUCACUCGUCUCCUUAGCGUGGCCAAAGAAUCUACUAACAAUGGCCAACUCCCGUCGUUAAUGAGGCCACGGGCUCUGAGCUACUUUGCACUCAAUACAAAAGCGCUAUAUUAAGCCGUUCGCUCUGUUACCAGUUAACUUAAGCGUGGAUGGGGUUGAUGUUCUAACUGCGGAUGUAUUGCUCUCCUUCCCGUGAUUCCGCAGCCUGCAGCCUGCUUGCGCAUCUUCGCCCCCUUGCCCUGGUCAAAGGACUCGCUGAGAAGGCCAACUCCCACUCACGGUGAGGCCACGGGCUCCGAACUACUUUAAAAGCACCUCAUCAGCUUGUUCGCUGUUUUACCAGGCGAACAACACCGCCAACUUGGCGAGAUGGUUUUGGUAUUUUAACUGCGCAUGUAUUGCACUCCGCCGACAAUGGCCAGCUCCCAAUAACCCUCAAUGCAGAUCGAUUCAGUUGCUCCUAACAAGCCCAUUGCAUUGAGAAUUUUCAAAACCCAUAAGGAUAUGAUAGAGCUAUGCUUAUUUUUAUAAAAGGACAAUCUCUAAAUUUCAAGGACUAUCGUGAUUUCCUUUGGCGAAUCCAUAAUCCUCAUCCGUGCAUAUAAGUAUAAGUUUAGAAAUACUAGAAAGUCCUUCGAAUAGCCAAGAUAAAAGGACAUUUGUCUGUAGAGAAUAUAUGAUGUAUUUGGCCCUAUCCUUGCGAAUCCUGAAAAGUUGUAUGUAGAACAACUUGUAUGGACUAGGGCUAUCAACUAGCCAAAGGACAUCAAAAUCGUUGUUGUAGUUUUCAAGAUAUUAAGGAUUUUGUUUUCAGUCUACUUUCUAGCGCAUCGGCACAAAUAUUACCAAGUCCAUGAUUCUUAGACAAGCCUAUAAUAUUUAAAUGCAGAUCGAUGCAGUGGGUCUCCACGAUCAAAACGCAACAUGUCCUUUAAAAAUCUGAGGGAAUAUGGUCGAGUUAUAGCUAUUUUUCUAAAAAGGAUACUUUUACAGAACUGGCCAUAUUUUGGGCAUUUCAAGGACUUUCGGCAAGUCCUUUGACCAUCAGAAUGUCCUUGUUUUGCCGAUUAAGAAUAUAUAAUGAAAAGGACGUAGGUCCUUUAAUCACUAAGAUAUAAGGACAUAUAUUUUGUAUUUUAAAAUUGCUAUAUCUCAGCCGAAUCCUUGCGGAUCCUGACAAAUCCUGUGUUAAACAAAUGGUAUGAACUAGGACUACAAACUGGCCAAAGGACAUACAAAUCGUCCUCGUGGUUUCCGAUAUACGGCCACUUUUCUAAAAAGGACAUUCUUUUUAUGGCCAUAUCCUGGCCAAAUCCGGCAGGAUAUCCGAACGAAAUACUUUUUUGAACUCGUGGGAAGCAAUACUAUCGAUUGGCAUUCAAGGAUUUCCAGGAUUCGACAAAAAAUUUCACUAAAAUUUUUUAUAGGGGUUUAGUCAGGAAAUGGCCAAAAAUUGAAAAAAUCGGAACUAACUUCGCCAUUUGAAGGACUAUCGGGAUGUCCUUUGGACAGUAGAUAGCCCUCAUCAUCCCAUUUACGAAUAUGCAACCCAAAGGACGAAAGUCCUUCAGACAAAAAUGUUUUAAGGACAAAUUUAUAAACCAAAAAUAGCUUAUAACUCGGCCAUAUCCUGGCGUAUCCUGGCGAGUCAUGUGUCAAAAAAAUUGUAUUGACUAGGACUACCAUCUGGCCAAAGGACAUCAAGAUUGUCCUUCUAGUUUCAGAGAUAUCGCUAUUUUACUGUAAUUGUAUGAAUUCGGGCAAUUUUCCUUGCGGCCAGCGACUGAAAAUUUACCAAGUCCAGGAUUCUUAGAUGACCCCAUAAUGUUUUAAUGCAGUUCGAUGGAGUAUGUCUCCACGAUCCUAACGCACCGUGUCCUUUGAAAAUCUGCAAGGAUAUGGCCGAGUUAUGGCUAUUUAUAUCCUCUAAAUGACCUUAUAUGUGUCGUGACAAUUUUAAUGUAAAUGUGUCUUUUAUCUUUCCAGAUUGAAGGAUUUAAGGACUCUAAUCAAUUCUAAGGAUUUCUACGAAUCCAACAAGGCUACUCCUGCCAGAAUCGGGCUUAUAUUAAGCUAGAUAUAGUCAUUUUAACAUAAAAUCGA